ACUCAAAGGAAUUGACGGGGGCCCGCACAAGCGGUGGAGCAUGUGGUUCAAUUCGACGCAACGCGAAGAACCUUACCUGGGCUCGAAAUGCAGGUGACCGUCCAAGAAACUGGGCUUUCCCGCAAGGGACACCUGUAUAGGUGCUGCAUGGCUGUCGUCAGCUCGUGUCGUGAGAUGUUGGGUUAAGUCCCGCAACGAGCGCAACCCUCAUCGUUAGUUGCUCUCCCGCAAGGGAAGCACCCUAACGGAACUGCCUCAGAUAAUGGGGAGGAAGGUGGGGAUGACGUCAAGUCCUCAUGGCCUUUAUGUCCAGGGCUACACACGUGCUACAAUGGCCGGUACAAAGCGUCGCGAACUCGCGAGAGGGAGCCAAUCGCAAAAAACCGGUCUCAGUUCGGAUUGCAGUCUGCAACUCGGCUGCAUGAAGCUGGAAUCGCUAGUAAUCGCGUAUCAGAACGACGCGGUGAAUACGUUCCCGGGCCUUGUACACACCGCCCGU
rnacentral:rRNA from 1 species